rnacentral:pre_miRNA from 1 species
GUGGUUUUGAACCUGGCAUACAGUGUAGAGAUCUGUGUUUGUCAAAUUACAGCUACAUUGUCUGCUGGGUUUCAGAGCCGCUUC